AUGCAGGUUUGUAAGGGUAAAGUAGAGGAAGUUGCAGAGAAUGAAGGUGUUGGUGAUGAAGAUCAAGAAAGGAUGGCAUUGAAGUCCAUUAGCAAGACACUGUUGGAAGAUAAGGUACAAGGCAUUUGGUGUGAAGUUAGAAGCAUGACAUUUGGUGGUGAGGAUGGACAUAGAGAUGGAUCCGUAUGGCAUGUCUUGACAUUCGGUUAG